AACACAAGGGCCAUACACUCUUCUCAUAAAUCUUAACCCCUUCCUCUCCCUCAAAACCCCCCUUCUUCAAUCUCUUUUCAGCUUCUUCAUGGGUUUUGGCCAUCAAUUAAAACUGUAAGUUCACUCUCCAUUUACACACACACAUACAUAGAUGGCUUCUACAUUCUUUACUUCUUUUGAUAUACCAAAUUCAUUAGACCUAAAACACCAUCUUCAUCUUAGUUAUAAAACAAGAACUAGAAAGUCACCAUAUUUUUACUGUAAUUCCUCAAAAUCACCACCAAAACCCGAUUUAUCUGAAGAACCCAAGAAGCAGAACCCAUCUUUAGCUGAUCAACUUCAGACCUUAUCCACAACUAUCUUAUCUGACACCCCACAGAAGUCAUCAACCCAAAAAUUGUUGACCAAGCCUAAAUCCAUUUGGGUCAACCCCACAAAGCCCAGACCUUCUGUUCUUAAUCUUCAAAGACAACAAAGAACUUCUUAUUCACAUAACCCUCAAAUUAGAGACCUUAAGUUGUUUUCGAAAAAGCUUAAUGAAUGCGAAAAUUCACAAGAUGCUUUCUUGAAAGUUCUUGAAGAAAUCCCACAUCCACCCACUAGAGAGAAUUCACUUUUGGUGCUUAAUAGUUUGAAACCAUGGGAAAAGGCACUGGCUUUUUUUAAUUGGCUUAAAACCCAAGAUUCGUUUCCCAUGGAAACUAUUUUUUAUAAUGUUACUAUGAAGUCUUUAAGAUUUGGUAGACAGUUUCAGCUUAUUGAAGAUCUUGCUAAUGAAAUGAUUGAUAAUGAGAUUCAAUUGGAUAAUAUUACGUAUUCAACGAUUAUUACAUGUGCUAAAAGGUCGAACCUUUUUGAUAAGGCGGUUGAAUGGUUUGAAAGAAUGUAUAAAACUGGAUUGAUGCCUGAUGAAGUUACUUAUUCUGCUGUUUUAGAUGUGUAUGCUAAGUUAGGAAAAGUUGAGGAGGUAAUGAGUUUGUAUGAAAGAGGGAGAGCGAGCGGAUGGACCCCUGAUGCAAUUGCGUUUGCGGUUUUGGCUAAAAUGUUUGGUGAGGCGGGUGAUUAUGAUGGUAUAAGAUACGUUUUGCUAGAAAUGAAGGCUUUAGGGGUGAAGCCUAAUCUGGUUGUGUUUAAUACUUUAUUAGAAGCAAUGGGGAAGGCUGGAAAACCCGGUUUGGCAAGGAGUUUGUUUGAAGAAAUGGUGUCUGCAGGUAUUUCACCAGAUGCUAAAACGCUUACUUCAUUGGUUAAGAUUUAUGGGAAAGCAAGAUGGGCUAGAGACGCAUUGGAUUUAUGGCAAAGAAUGAAAUCGAAUGGGUGGCCAAUGGAUUUUAUUCUUUAUAAUACAUUACUAAGCAUGUGUGCUGAUCUUGGUUUACAAGAAGAAGCUGAAAAAUUGUUUGAUGACAUGAAGGUGUCUGAACACUGUAAACCAGAUAGUUGGAGUUACACUGCAAUGCUUAACAUAUAUGGAAGUGGUGGGAAUGUUGAAAAGGCGAUGGCUUUAUUUGAUGAAAUGUCAAAGGAGAAUGUAGGGAUUAAUGUUAUGGGCUGUACUUGUUUGAUUCAGUGUUUGGGCCGGGCUAGACGAAUGGAUGAUUUGUUGAUGGUUUUCGAGACAUCGCUUAAAAAGGGUGUUCGGCCUGAUGAUAGGUUAUGUGGGUGCUUGUUAUCCGUUGUAUCUUAUUGUGAAAAUGGUGAUGAUUUGGAUAAAGUAAUUGCUUGUUUACAGCAAGCAAACCCGAGAUUGGUUUCUUUUGUUAAAUUAUUAGAAGUGGAUACAACUGGGUUUGAGCAGUUGAAGGUGGAGUUCAAAGAUAUACUAAACAACACUGAAGUUGAAGCGCGUAGGCCGUUCUGUAAUUGUCUAAUUGAUGUUUGUAGAAAAAGAAAUCUUGAUGGGAGGGCCCAUGAACUUCUCUACAUGGGAACCAUGUACGGGUUAUACCCUGGAUUACACACAAAGACUCCUGAAGAAUGGCGUUUAAAUGUGAGGUCACUAUCUGUAGGUGCAGCCCACACGGCGUUUGAAGAAUGGGUUGGGACUUUUAGUGAAAUGGUUAACCGCCAGGAACCUCUGCCAGAGUUGCUAUCCGCUAGCACAGGUGCAGGGACUCAUAAGUAUUCUCAAGGGUUGGCAAAUGCGUUUGAAUCACAUGUGGUGAAGCUUUCUGCACCAUUUAGGCAAAGUGAAGAAAAACCAGGUGUUUUUGUAGCAACUAGAGAGGAUAUAGUGUCGUGGGUGCAAUCAAGAGUUGGAUCUUUUGCUGGUAGUCAAUAGAGGUAUCAGUUGUGUUGUAGUACUUGAGCAUCUUUUAUAGCUUUAGAUACGGUUUCUAUAACGAUUUUCAUUUGAAACAAGCUAUACGUUUUGAACUUUAUUAGUAGAAUACAUUCUGCGAUAAAUUGUCUCUUUCUUUUACCAUUUAUGUUGUGGUAGAGUCAUACUCAGUUGUAUCCGUUAAGUCAUUAAGGUAGUUUAUAAUUAGUUAACUAUUUAUAAUCAGUCAAGGGACCCAACUAUAAUGACUGGUAACAAUAUCCUAUAACCUCAUUACAGUUUUGUCUAGAUGAUGAUUUUGAAAGUAUGCUCGCUAACAUAAGAACGGAUUGAAAUUUGAAAGCGUGUUCAUUUUGCACUCAACUUAUCUAUUUGAACAUCUAGUAUUCACACAUCAAUGUAGGAUGUACAAACCUUGGAACAACACUACUAUGCAAUCCACACAUCUGGUAUUCACGCAUCAAUGUAGGGUGCACAAACCUUGGAACAGCAAUAUUCUGGAUAGUUCAAGGAGCGGUUCCUCAAUGAAAUACUGUCUGUGUUCUGUGCGAGUCUUGGGAGGAGGCGCCUGAGCAUCUUUUGUGUAGGUGCAGUUUUUCUGCUGAUGUGUGGCAUCGGCUAAGCGGUUGCUGUAAGGAUGAUUCUCUUUCUUUCUCUACUGCUACUGAUCUUUUCUUGAAUUGCAUAAGAAAGUGGGUUUGGGGCGAAAGGCAAGAAAGGUGUUUAAAAGGACAACUUUUGUUACGUGUUGGUGUCUUUGGAUGGCGAGAAACGAGACGAGUUUUGGGCAUGUGAAGGGGAGUAGCGAGAAGGUUUUUUGUGAUGUCAAAGCUAAUGGAUUUUUAUGAUUUAAAAGUAGAUUAAAAGAUAGUUUUAUUAGCUUGGAAGAUUGGAAUAUUCUGUAAUGUAAAUCCCCUUGAUGUUGUUUUGGAAACUUCCCUGUUGUUUCGGGUGAGUUGUGCCUUUGUGAAUAAGAUUUAUACUUAAAAAGAAGUUAACAAUGGUGAUUAAAGUCA